rnacentral:rRNA from 1 species
CCUACGGGUGGCAGCAGUGGGGAAUCUUGCGCAAUGGGCGAAAGCCUGACGCAGCAACGCCGCGUGGAGGAUGAAGGCCCUUGGGUUGUAAACUCCUGUCGGCUGGGAAGCUGUACCAGCAAAGGAAGCCCCGGCUAACUCUGUGCCAGCAGCCGCGGUAAUACAGAGGGGGCUAGCGUUAUUCGGAAUUAUUGGGCGUAAAGGGCGCGUAGGCGGCCAUGCGUGUCUUCCGUGAAAUCCCUCGGCUUAACUGAGGACGUGCGGAAGAAACUGCAAGGCUCGAGUCCGGGAGAGGGGGGUGGAAUUCCCAGUGUAGCGGUGAAAUGCGUAGAUAUUGGGAGGAACACCGGUGGCGAAGGCGGCCCCCUGGACCGGACUGACGCUGAGGCGCGAAAGCGUGGGUAGCAAACGGGAUUAGAUACCCUUGUAGUC